rnacentral:rRNA from 1 species
AUUGAACGCUGGCGGCAGGCCUAACAAAUGCAAGUCGAACGAGUGGCGGACGGGUGAGUAAUGUCUGGGAAACUGCCUGAUGGAGGGGGAUAAAUACUGGAAACGGUAGCUAAUACCGCAUACCAUCGGAUGAGCCCAGAUGGGAGUAGCUAGUAGGUUGGGUAAAGGCUCACCUAGGCGACGAUCCCUAGCUGAUCAGAGAGGAUGACCAGCCACAGUGGAAAUGAGACAUGGUCCAGACUCCGACGGGAGUCAGCAGGGGGGAAUAUUGCACAAUGGGCGCAAGCCUGAUGCAGCCAUGCCGCGUGUAUGAAGAAGGCCUGCGGGUUGUAAAGUACUUUCAGCGGGGAGGCGUUACCCGCAGAAGAAGCACCGGCUAACUCCGUGCCAGCAGCCGCGGUAAUUC